GCUAUCUCUCACUUCAUAUAUGGUAGUCACCCGUAAAUAGUUAUUAUUGCUGUUACCCCGAUUGCUGUUACUUCAGAUUGGUGGAAGUUCUUCCUUCAGAAUGAGCAAGCCCGAGAGCGUGGGAACAGUGAGAAUGUUAGAGAUAGAGGGACUUUGGCAUUCAUCUAACCUACUUCUUCAUUUGGGAAGGGACCUGAGGUGCACAGGGUGUGAAUUGGCUUGUCCAAGGUUACAUGCCUGACUAGUUCCAACUUUCCCAUAAGGAAGUUAACUAGUUGGAGCAGCAGAAAGAGCUUUGGCUUUGGAAUGAGACACAUGCAAACUUGAUUCUACCAGCCGGCACGGAGGAAGCCUUCGCUUCUCCACCUGCUCCUGCCUCAUUUCCUUACCUGCGGCACAGGGAGACGAGAGCCCUUCUCCCGGGAGGGUGGAGAGGACUUCACGGGAUACUGUACACCAGGCAAAUCGUCAGCAGGCCCAGAAAUGCUCUCAACCUUGCUACCUGCCUCCGGAGGACCUUAUUAGCACACCAGGAGGCAAGUCAGAUGGUGAACCUCAACGGACCAUGAUGUUGGAGCCCCAGUCCCAGUCUUCUGAUGGCACGUCCCAUUCCAAGCUGUCACCCACCCAGCACCACUCUUCACGUUCUCAGCUAGGGAGGAGGUCCCCAUCAGGCAAGAGAAGUGGCAGAGGCUUUUUUGGAAUCCCAGGCUCCAAAGAGUGA
rnacentral:lncRNA from 1 species